rnacentral:rRNA from 1 species
GACGAAGGAUGCAAGCGUUAUCCGGAUUCAUUGGGUUUAAAGGGAGCGUAGGCGGCCUUGUAAGUCAGUGGUGAAAUCUCGCAGCUUAACUGCGAAACUGCCAUUGAUACUGCAGGGCUUGAGUACAGAUGCUGUGGGCGGAAUAUGACAUGUAGUGGUGAAAUACAUAGAGAUGUCAUAGAACACCGAUUGCGAAGGCAGCUGACGAAACUGUAACUGACACUGAGGCUCGAAAGUGCGGGGAUCAAACAGG